AGUAGACAGACAUUCUAGGCAAAUCCGGAGUGUUAAUGUUGAGAUGUUAACAGGUAACCCCUCCAUGGAGGGGCCAACUAAUCAAUGCCAUGCUUCCAAGAAAAGCCUCUAAGCUUCAGAUUAUGUAUGACCGUACCCUAAACCGACACAGGUGGACUGGGAGAGAAUCCUAAGGCGCUUGAGAAAACUCGGGUGAAGGAACUCGGCAAAAUAGUACCGUAACUUCGGGAGAAGGUACGCCCCCAAUAUGUGAAACGGUUUACCCGUGAAGAGCAGAAGGGGGUUGCAGUAACCAGGUGGCUGCGACUGUUUAUUAAAAACACAGCACUCUGCAAACACGUAAGUGGACGUAUAGGGUGUGAUGCCUGCCCGGUGCCGGAAGGUUAAUUGAUGGGGUUAGCCGCAAGGCAAAGCUCUUGAUCGAAGCCCCGGUAAACGGCGGCCGUAACUAUGACGGUCCUAAGGUAGCGAAAUUCCUUGUCGGGUAAGUUCCGACCUGCACGAAUGGCGUAACGAUGGCCACACUGUCUCCACCCGAGACUCAGUGAAAUUGAACUUGCUGUUAAGAUGCAGUAUACCUGCGGCUAGACGGAAAGACCCCGUGAACCUUUACUAUAGCUUUGCACUGGAUUUUGAACCUGCUUGUGUAGGAUAGGUGGGAGGCUGUGAAAUUAGUACGCCAGUACUAAUGGAGCCAUCCUUGAAAUACCACCCUGGCAUGUUUGAAGUUCUAACCUAGACCCGUUACCCGGGCCGGGGACAGUGUAUGGUAGGUAGUUUGACUGGGGCGGUCUCCUCCAAAAGAGUAACGGAGGAGCACGAAGGUACCCUCAGCGCGGUCGGAAAUCGCGCAUUGAGUGCAAAGGCAUAAGGGUGCUUGACUGUGAGACGAACAGGUCGAACAGGGUCGAAAGACGGUCUUAGUGAUCCGGUGGUUCUGAAUGGAAGGGCCAUCGCUCAACGGAUAAAAGGUACUCCGGGGAUAACAGGCUGAUACCGCCCAAGAGUUCAUAUCGACGGCGGUGUUUGGCACCUCGAUGUCGGCUCAUCACAUCCUGGGGCUGAAGUCGGUCCCAAGGGUAUGGCUGUUCGCCAUUUAAAGUGGUACGCGAGCUGGGUUUAGAACGUCGUGAGACAGUUCGGUCCCUAUCUGCCGUGGGCGUUGGAGACUUGAGGGAAGCUGUUCCUAGUACGAGAGGACCGGAAUGGACGUACCUCUGGUGUUCCGGUUGUCACGCCAGUGGCAAUGCCGGGUAGCUAUGUACGGAAGGGAUAACCGCUGAAAGCAUCUAAGCGGGAAGCCCCUCCCAAGAUUAGGUCUCCCAGGGCACUCGAUGUCCCUUAAGGUCCGUUGAAGACUACAACGUUGAUAGGCAGGAUGUGGAAGCGCGGUAACGUGUGGAGCUAACCUGUACUAAUUGACCGUGAGGCUUGACCAU
rnacentral:ncRNA from 1 species